AAUCCUCCCAGGAGCUGACACUUAAGGCUGAAAAGACAAGGAGCCACCCAAGCAAGGGGGAUUUGGAUGAUGUGUUGGAGAAAGCCAAGAAGGCCAAUGUUGUGGCCCUUGUGGCAGUUGCCGAACAUUCAGGAGAAUUUGAAAAGAUUAUGCAACUUUCAGAAAGGUAUAAUGGGUUUGUCCUGCCAUGCUUGGGUGUUCAUCCAGUUCAAGGACUUCCACCAGAAGACCAAAGAAGUGUCACACUAAAGGAUUUGGAUGUAGCUUUGCCCAUUAUUGAGAAUUAUAAGGAUCGGUUGUUG
rnacentral:lncRNA from 10 species